CAGGAGUGGUGCGAGAAAGGCAGAAGGGGUCGAGCCUUCAAGUUCACGCUGCUGACAUUAACAAGGACAGAUUGAAACUUCAAAUUCAGCAGUGAUGACCAGACCAUCAUGAGAAUGUUGUAGAAAGCGUCAAAUUUGGAACUGUGUAUAUACUUCGGAAGCCUAUGCGAGAAAGAGCACAGUGGGAUUUUACAUGACUGGACAACUCAGACGAUGAAAACAUGACAGAAGCCUCUAUCGUUACUGACUUGACAAGAUGAAACUCUUGAGGUUUGAAACACUGUUACCGGAGGAGAGAGUAACUUGGUCACCUCUUGUGUGUGCUCAUAGAAUCAUACACUCGAUUGCACCUCAUCCUUUUGAUGGAGAAAAUCCAAUUUACGAUGAAUCACUGUGGAUUCCCCA